ensembl:lncRNA
AUGUAUCGAAUUUGUUUAUUCGGUGAUGGACAGACAUCUGUUGUACCAAUCAGUUGGAUUUUUGAUGACAAUGGAACAUUGAAGUGUCGAUGGACAUCAUCACUCUCAAACAUUAAAAACAAUUCUCCACCAAACCCUAACUGGAAGGUUUAUGACAUUGUGAAGAUCGUUGGACCAUCAAUUGGAGACUAUGAUCAAGCAAAUCAAUACAUCUCAGAUUACACAACGGGGGUCUCAGCAGCAGAGGACUCAAUUACUUAUUCAAUGACAGACCCUGCAGUUGUGGAAUUACCUGAGAAGAGAAAAAGGAAAAAUAAGCUCUGUGAUGAAAGUGACAUCAAUUCAGAGACAUCUUCCUGUGAAGAUGAUAUGAACUUGAAGCAGUCAGGAAAUGAAGUGAAGCAAUCUGGUCUGAAGUCAAGAAAUGUCCCACUGCCCAAACCUCCUAUAUACCAUGAUACUCUUCAGAGAAGUGGGAAAAAAGAUGAGGAUGAUCCCAAGCCCACAAGCUCUGAUGUCUCAGAAUUUCAUGAUCUUCAACAACAUCACAUGACUUAUAAAGAAAUUACAGUGCAAACCAGGAUACCAGAUGAUGUGCAUUUAAAGAAGUCAAGAAAUGCAAUGAAGCGAGUUGGUCUGAAGACAAAGAAUGUUCAGCUGGCCAAAACUCCCAGAUACCAUGGUGACUGUCUGGAUGAUAACAAUGAAAGCCCUGAUGACAGUUAUUUAAACUCAAGCCAGCCCAACCCAGUAUUCUUAGAUACUCUUCAGGGAAAUGUGGCAAUGCAUGAGGAUGAUCAUCCCAAAAGCUCUGCUUCUUCAGGGAAGGAACCAAAGGAAACAAAAUGCAAAGUCACCAUGGAGAAAUUGUUUGAUCUGAAUACUAAGAUACUCCAACAAAUUCAAAUGCUGGAACAGAGACAAGCUGUCAUCAUGAAUGACUUGGCAAAAGUUAAGUCUGUUCUCAUGAAGCGGGCAGAAGAAGAUGCCCAUGAGGAACUUUUUAAACAACAACAGUGCUCCAGCUUUGAAACGUUUGAAGCCUUCUGUCAGAGGCUUGAAGAAGACAAAAAUUAUCGAGAGCUUUAUGUACACUAUCUCAUCCAUACUCACGGCAGCUCCAAUAUAGGUGAGAUGGUGAGACAGGCUUUAAAAAGCAUAGCGUCAGACAAUGUUCUCUGUCUGUAUAACAGAACGGGGAAAGAUGGGAAGAAGGUGUUGCCACCUGUGCUCCUGACAUGUUUGAAAAAAUGUGUCAGGUCUUUUCACAAACAAAAUGAAAUAGAGGUGAAGAAGCUAAAAGUAACCACCAGAACAACACCAGACGCGGAAUGUAUUCGCCAAGUAGAAAUUUUUUUGUCCAACGCCAACACCAGGCUGAAAAGGAAACCAAAUAAAGGAAAAAGCUGA